AUCAAAAACCUUCAUAAACACUUGGUAAUAGAUAUUCACUGAUAAUAAUCAGUCACAUUAAAGGAAAAGCUGAUGGACUACAGGCUCUGCUUGUUGAUACUGUCCUCUUCCGUUGCUUAGUAGAAAUUUCUGGCCUAAUCUUUUUGGGAGUUCUUACUUCCUCUUGAACACUUCCACCAGAUAAUUUGAAUUCAGACAAUCCAAAGGAUUUUAUUCUUGAGGGUCAAUGAUCCUGUAUCUUUCAGAUACAUUAUACUUUUUUAUUAUUUUUAAUGUGCAUAAACAUUUUUUUUUGUUUGUUUUGUUUUACAAUAGCUGAAAUGGACAUGUAAUGAAAUUUUACUGGGCCAUUUUUCUCAGAGAACUUUGAAAAAGAGUUAAACAUUAUUUUCCUUAUUUUUUUAACUGUUGGUAUUUUGGAAGAAAACCUGCUAGAACCAUGCAGCUGAGCCCUCACACACACUAUUGUGGAAAUUAAUCAUCUGCCUGCUAUAAAAUAUAGCCUAAGCUGUGAUAAUCACUAACUUUGUCAGAAAAGCCACUCUUUAAUCAAAGGCAUGAUUUAGCAUGUAACAUUAUAAGGAGCAAUUGAUACACUUUGAGACCAAAACUCAUUGAAUUUGUAGUUUUUCCUUUUAUGGUAGAAAUGAAUGGUCAUAUAUUUUUCCCUUUUCAAGAAAAGCUAAAGGUUUAAGCCAACAAGAAAAUAUUUCCACACUGAACUGGUUUGUGGAUAUCUUUCCAGAAGCUUUUGAUUUAACACUGUUAAACUCAUUACCUUUUUUUUUUUUUUUUUUUUUUUUUUUUUCUAUGGUGGAUCAAAACCAGGAUCUCCAAAAAUACUACUACCGUUCUCAGAUUGCCUACUGACUGUAUGAAAGAAUCAGAUUGAGGUAAACUCCUCCUAGGUAUCACAGCCAGUUUGGACACUGGCCGAGCCACAUGCCCUUUGGUAUCUUCUUAAAUGCAGAAGCCAAAUUUGCAAUUUGCUCUGAAAAUAUGUCUGGGACUUAAAUAUUUUCAGAGCUGCUUAGAAUGUCAACUUUUGGCAUGUUUACUCUCCAGCUGUGAGACACAGCAUAACACAUCAAGUGAUAAAAAUGGUGAAUGAAUUAGACUUUAGGCACUAAAUAGACUUUCAGACAACUUCUGACAAGAGAAGCUCAAGUCUUUGAAAGGAGAAACUGGGUCACUAGAUAUCUUUCUAUGAAGAUCACUCAGUUUACAAAGAACCCAAUGCAACACUACUUCCCAUCUGGAAGUGAAGACGUGCUGUAUGUAGCAAUCUGGUAUAGUGUUAUCAUGGAGCAUUUUCUAGUGCUUGAGGGAUAAAUAAAUAAGUAAAGGCCUGAUUUCCCAAUGAGUACAAGAAAUUCCAUUUCAGACACCUAAGACAGUGGCCAGAUUUCCCAGACUGCCCAGCCUCCAGCAGUUUCUAGAAUAAGCAGUGAGAGCUACUUGUUGAAAGUCUGGCACCAUCUGCUCCAGAGCUGCACUUUUCCAUUUUAUCCAGGCUGGAAUAUCGUACACACACAGUAAUGGUUACAACAUCCUGGGUGCCAGGCACAAUCAUGUGAUGGGCAGGAUAUUUCACAGCUGCUCUUAAGUAACCAGCAUUCAAAACUUUACAUACUCACAGAUCAUUACUAUCUGAGACUUUGCUAAAGAAAGUCCAAGGACUCUGGGUAGUGCUGAAGUAAUUUCCUGCAUGGCAAAUUUUGUGGACAAAUCCAUCACCUGUGUACUGUUGGAAUGCUGUGUGCUAUCAUAGGCCUUUUGUGUAAGGUGCGAAAGAUAGACCCAAGUGAUUGGCAAAGGCCCCAGGGUACUCUUUUUAACGACACAAAUAUUAACUCCCAAAACUGAGCCAUACUCAAGUGUGGAUAAUAAUCACUUAAAUUUCUCCAGAGGGUUCAGUUAAAACAAGCAUUUGUGUUGCUUUCCUUCUCCAUACAACCUUCCAAAAUACAGUAUAGUCUGUCCAUCUCCCCAAAGCAGUAGCUAGAUUUCAUUAGUGAGCAAUAUAGAAACUCUGGAGAGCAAUAUAAUGCUAUACUGAAUGUAGGUCACUAUUAAUCAUUAAUGAUGUAGGGCUCUAAAAAUGGUACAAACAUCACAUACCAUCAGGUUGAGUUUACAUGGAUAACAAUGACACUGGGUAUUCAUUCCAAUUUGUUAAAAUUGAAUGUGUGUCUGGUUGUAGAAAAUGACUGAGUUCUGCCAGAAUUUAAGUUUUCAUUUUUUAUCUCCACAGGGGAACAUAAACCGGUGAUGAUUUUUUUUCCAAUGCUCAAGUUGUUAGAUCCUAAAUUUCCAGCUGCUCAUACUGACACCUUUUCAGGGACUCUCUGUGAACAAUUUAAUCAUUUCUUUCAGCAGAAAAACUGACUCCAUUACAGUGCAGUGGCCCAGAGGACCAGCAGCAGCUGUUAAAAUGCAAUCACUGUUGAGCUCAUAUAAAUUGUUAUAAAAGUUCUUUCACUGUUUCUGUAUUUAAACUUGCUAAAGUACAUCCAGUAAAUGCAUCCAAAUUCUCCUUUAGAUGCUUGCUCCUACUAGGGUUAUGAAAGAAGGUCUCUCUGUAGCAGUCUUUGUGUUGGUCUUUUAUCCUUGGUAAUGUUCCAGCUACUCUGAAAAUGGUAAUUAUUAAUUCACUGUGGGUGGAAAAAAAAAAAAAAAAAAAAAAAAAA